UACGUAGGGUGCAAGCGUUAAUCGGAAUUACUGGGCGUAAAGCGUGCGCAGGCGGUUCGCUAAGACAGAUGUGAAAUCCCCGGGCUCAACCUGGGAACUGCAUUUGUGACUGCAUAGCUAGAGUACGGUAGAGGGGGAUGGAAUUCCGCGUGUAGCAGUGAAAUGCGUAGAUAUGCGGAGGAACACCGAUGGCGAAGGCAAUCCCCUGGACCUGUACUGACGCUCAUGCACGAAAGCGUGGGGAGCAAACAGG
rnacentral:rRNA from 1 species